UACAGAGGUCCCAAGCGUUGUUCGGAUUCACUGGGCGUAAAGGGUGCGUAGGUGGCGAGGUAAGUUUGAUGUGAAAGCUCCGGGCUCAACCCGGAAAGUGCAUUGAAUACUACUUUGCUUGAGGGUCAGAGGGGAGACUGGAAUUCUCGGUGUAGCAGUGAAAUGCGUAGAUAUCGAGAGGAACACCAGUGGCGAAGGCGAGUCUCUGGAUGAAACCUGACACUGAGGCACGAAAGCUAGGGGAGCAAACAGG
rnacentral:rRNA from 1 species